UCCCUGGUAACUCAGUUGGUAGAGUAGGUGACUGUUAAUCACUUUGUCGGCGGUUCGAGUCCGUCCCAGGGAGCCA
rnacentral:tRNA from 2 species